rnacentral:rRNA from 1 species
CCUACGGAUGGCUGCAGUGGGGAAUAUUGGACAAUGGGGGCAACCCUGAUCCAGCCAUGCCGCGUGUGUGAAGAAGGCCCUCGGGUUGUAAAGCACUUUCAGUGAGGAAGAACGCCUGGUGGUUAAUACCCAUCAGGAAAGACAUCACUCACAGAAGAAGCACCGGCUAACUCCGUGCCAGCAGCCGCGGUAAUACGGAGGGUGCGAGCGUUAAUCGGAAUUACUGGGCGUAAAGCGCGCGUAGGUGGCUUGAUAAGCCGGUUGUGAAAGCCCCGGGCUCAACCUGGGAACGGCAUCCAGAACUGUCAAGCUAGAGUGCAGGAGAGGAAGGUAGAAUUCCCGGUGUAGCGGUGAAAUGCGUAGAGAUCGGGAGGAAUACCAGUGGCGAAGGCGGCCUUCUGGACUGACACUGACACUGAGGUGCGAAAGCGUGGGUAGCAAACAGGAUUAGAUACCCUAGUGUC